rnacentral:tRNA from 1 species
UGUGUAAAAGUCAAAAAGAGACAAAUUAUUGUUAAUAAUUUUAAUGGUAACCCCUUACACAA